rnacentral:tRNA from 1 species
GCGAGCGUAGCUUAGUUGGUAGAGCACCACUUUCCCAAAGUGGAUGUCGAGGGUUCGAAUCCCUUCGCUCGCUCCA